rnacentral:rRNA from 1 species
GACGAUGAUAACCCGGAUGAGGAUUUUGGUGACGAUGAGAUGAAUCCAACAAAAUCAAGGAAAUUUGUUAGCGCGAGAGAGUACUAUUGCUUCAAGUUGUGUGUCUGGAAGAAGCUUUUUAACAUCAUCUUGUUUGGGGGGGGUCUUUUUCAACAGUGGGCUAUUGACAUGUACAUCAAGAUUGAGACAAUGAGGCUUGACUGGUAUUCAAAGCCAGCAAAUCAAAAGGUUAUACGCGCUGACAUGUACCAGGGUCUUGUUGACACCGUCGUUGCUGGCGAGUCACGCGGUGAUCGGAUUGGCAAGAGAAUCGUGCUUCCACGUACAUUUCCUGGUGGUGACCGUGACAUGCAGCGCAGGUUUCUGGAUGCGAUGGCAAUAGUUCAACGUUGGGGUAAACCGGAUUAUUUUGUCACGAUGACAUGCAAUCCCUACUCGGAGGAGAUAACGCAGGAAUUGUUGCCUGGACAGCUGCCACAAGACCGCCCAGACCUUGUGGCAAGAGUAUACAGAGCUAAGCAACGAAAUAUGAUGGACUUACUAACUAAGGGUAAGCAUUUCGGAGAAGUCGCAGCUUAUGUACAUGUCACAGAGUUUCAGAAGCGAGGUCUCCCGCAUGAGCAUAUACUUUUAAUCAUGAAAGCAAAAAGCAAGUUAAGGACCCCAGAUGACUAUGAUCGAGUGAUAUCUGCAGAGAUACCCGACAAAAAGAAAUAUCUUGUCCUCCAUGAUCUGGUAGUCAAACACAUGUUGCACGGCCCAUGUGGUGCACUCAAGAAAAGUUGCCCUUGCAUGAUAGAUGGACAGUGUCGAUUUCAUUACCCGCGAGAUUUCUGUGAUGCUACAUUACAAGGGAAAGACUCAUAUCCCAUCUAUAGAAGGAGGGACGACGGGGUUCGAGUAAGGAUCAAGGGAGCAGAUUUGGACAAUAGAUGGGUGGUCCCUUACAACCCCUUUCUGCUUAUGAAAUACAACUGUCACAUAAAUGUUGAAGCAUGCUCGAGCAUUAAGGCAGUCAAGUACUUAUUCAAGUACAUCUACAAAGGGCAUGAUAAGGCAUCGUUUGCAUGUGAGCAUGAUAUUAUCAAUGAUGAGGGAAUCAUUAAUGAAAUUUGUCAAUACAGGGAUGCACGCUAUAUAUCUCCUCCAGAAGCUAUUUACAGGAUUUUUGGGUUUAAAAUGUUUGGUGUUAGUCCAUUUGUGUUACAGCUGCAACUUCAUUUGCCAAACAUACACACAAUCGCAUUUAAGGGUUAUGAAAAUCUGGAAGAUGUUGUCGCUCGCCCAACUUCUUCCAAAUCCAUGCUUACCGAGUACUUUGAGAUGAACAAGAAGUAUCCAGCGGCACGAAAAUGGUUGUACAGAGAGUUCCCAGAACAUUAUAGGUGGAUUGCCGCUAAUAAAAAGUGGCAAACGAGAAGAAGUAAGAGAUCACAGAUUGGAAGACUGGUGUAUGCACACCCUGCUGAAGGAGAGAGGUACUACUUGCGGGUGCUCCUAAGUCAUGUCCGAGGUGCCACUUCAUUUGAUGAUUUAAAAACAGUAAAUGGCAAGCCAUGCACUUCCUUCAGAGAGGCAUGUGAGCACUUAGGCCUCAUUGAGCAUGACAGGACACUAGAUGAUUGCAUGACGGAGGCAGCAACAUUUCAAAUGCCUUCUGCUCUUAGACGGUUGUUUGCGACUAUACUGGUAUUCUGUGAGGCAACACAAAUCCGUCAAUUGUGGGACAAACAUCUACCAUCGAUGGCUGAAGAUUACCGCCGCACUGAGUCGAACGAGGCAACACUUGAGCAGAUGGCCCUUAGAGAUGUCAGGGAUCUGGUGCAAUCCAUGGGUAAGGAUAUUAAAAUGUAUGGACUUCCAGAUCUGGUUGACACAGAUGGUUCUUCUGACGCCGAGUAUAGAGAGGUAAUAGAGGAGAGACAAGUUAGAGUUAACCAAGAGCAUCUAGAUCUAUUUAGCUGUUUGAACAGUGAACACCUAGAUGGUUUCAACGACAUAAUGGAUCAUGUGACGAACCAAAAAAGCCAGAUAUUUUUUGUUGAUGGUCCAGGAGGCACUGGGAAGACGUACCUGUACAAGGCAUUGCUUGCGAAGGUCCGUUCGAUGGGCCUAAUAGUGAUCGCAACUGCUACAUCAGGUAUAGCGGCGUCAAUAAUGCCUGGAGGCCGGACUGCCCACUCCAGGUUCAAAAUUCCAAUCAAGCUCACUGACAACAGCAUGUGUGGUUUCACAAAGCAGAGUGGUAUGGCAGAGUUGCUUAAACAGGCGUCCUUGAUAAUUUGGGAUGAAGUUGCUAUGACAAAGCGUCAAGCAGUUGAGACGCUUGACAGAUCGCUACAAGAUAUUAUGGAAUAUCCUUUUCCGUUUGGUGGAAAGGUUGUUGUCUUUGGUGGGGAUUUUAGGCAGGUCCUCCCUGUUGUUACACGAGGGACAAGAGCACGGAUCACGGAUGCUACACUAUUGAGAUCCUAUCUGUGGGAUAAGAUCCGCAAGAUACGCCUCACGCGCAAUAUGCAGGCACAUGCCGACCCUUGGUUCUCCGAAUACCUCCUAAGGAUUGGCAAUGGAACGGAAGAAAGUAUUGGUGACGACUAUGUGCGUCUGCCUGAAGACAUUGUGAUUGGUUAUACUGAGGACGAAGAACCUAUUAACAAGCUCAUCGAAGAUGUCUUCCCAUCCCUGCACACCAAUGCUAGGUCGAGGGAGUACAUGAGCAAACGUGCAAUUCUCUCGACCAAAAACGAGCAUGUGGAUGACCUGAAUGACAAGAUGAUCUCUAGGUUUCCGGGAGAAGAAAAGGUAUACCAUAGCUUUGACUCUAUCGAGGAUGACUUCCAGAAUAAUUACACGAUUGAUUUUCUGAACUCCAUCACACCAAAUGGCUUGCCCCCCCAUGUCUUGAGAGUAAAAAUCAACUGCACGGUCAUUUUGCUACAGAACCUCGACCUCAUAAUGGCUUGUGUAAUGGAACACGGCUUAUGA